AUGGGGUGUGAGGUUGCAUUAAGCACGCCCUAUGCUACUCGGGUUAGUAGGGCACCCCACCCUCUAAAGGUGGGUAGCAAACCAACAACGAGCUUUAGGCCGGGGCGUGAAGGGGUACAACAGCUGUCCGGCUGCCCAGAUCCCGCAGAUGAUGAUGCCUUUACCUAGCGUGCUGCCCGGCUCGACUCCCCAUCCUACAACCACUUUUGCCUAUCGUCCUAACUUUUUAUUUUUGCCACAUUGCCUUGUUCAUCUUCCUUCCCUUGCUUCUGGGUUACCUUAGGUCAUUGGGUCAUCUCAGCCCUUGAGGUUGCCAACCUAAAUAUCUAGCAAAUAACUCAAACAAAGAAGCACACAACUCAACUCUCCGGAGAAUAUUUGGAGUAUGUAUUGCCAAACAUAACAUAUCAAAUUUAAUGGCUAAACAAAGCGAAAAACUACACGACAACAUCUCUCGGCUUAGAAAUUUGUAUCAAAUCGUGAUCUCUAAGAACAAGGAGGAGUCUCAGAAACAGUAACUCCCUAAUCUAGAGACAGACCCAAUCCCUGUGUAAUAGAGUCUUGCAAGCCAAAAAUAAAGCUUCCAUUGGGGUACAACAGCAAUUCUCUACAAGAACAAGCUGAACAACAGCAAAAUCAUGUCCACAAGAACAUGACGGAACCCCUUAUCCCAAGCUAUAGAGAGACCGUAAAAAGGCCCCAAGCAACUCGACAGCCAUCAGCGCUAAACAGAUAUGCAAAAUAUUAGGAGAGAAAGGGGAGCCAAAAGUUGUAAAUAAUUCAAGAUCAAACAAUCCAUCAUUAGUAUGAAAUUUGAAUUUUUUUACUGAGAUGAUCUCUGUUUAACCUUUACACAAAUUCAAGACAAUCGAUCAACAUUUGAAAUUUAUCGAUAUUCCCUUAAUCCUUCUGGGAUUUUUGUGUACUACGGAGGUUAUAAAAUACAAAUUACAGGGCUAUAAUUCCUACACAAGAACACCAACGAGUAAGAGUUGUAAUGUUAUGCUUUGAAAACACGUAUGCAAACUAACAAACUAUGUACUGUUACCACCAAAUUCACCCUUGUCGCGCCAAUUAACGACUUUCCUCCAUAAUUCUGACCAUCUUAUGUUUCUUCAACAGCCAGAACCAGGAACCUUUUCACCUGCAGCUCCAUCCCAACAAUUACAGGAUCUCCAUCAACAAGACAUAGGCUUCCCCCCCCUUCCCCCACAACAAAUAGUUGUAUCAGAACAACGGGGCAGACCACAAAUUUCAUUCAACUCGUUUUAAAUCUUUUUCUCUAUAUCAUACCAGAAAAACCUAAGACAGUCCUCCCUCAAAAAGAGACAAACAUAGCUUCUGAGUUCUGAGUUAGACUGGACGAGACGGUUAAAUUAUUUUAUCUAUUUCGUCUUUCUAUAUUAUGUGAUUAAUUUCCAUUCUGAACCUUGUUAGUUAUCCAAUCCAAUCUAAGUACACAUCAGAACUACCCUUGACUCACUUUCUUUGAGUAGGGUAAAUAAUGAAAUUUACGACUCUUCAACCCCAAUUGCAAUAAGUGCACUUGCUGAAUUGUCAAUAAAUCCCAGCAUUGAUAAAGAUGCUUGUGGAAUAAAAGGGACAAACAUGGCUUGAAAACAGAUCCAACAGAGAGAGAUGAAUUGAUGUCUCAACUGUUGUACGGAUAAGCUCAAAUGUUAAAAUUCCCCAAGAGGCAGGAAGAGGAAUCCUCCAAAUCUUAAAGAUGAGAUUACAAAACUUCCCAUCAAAAGUUGGAAUCAAACCAAGAAAGGAGAUAAUUGGAAUUGAAUCCCAUAAUAAGACGAAAUAGGUGAAGUCGUCCCACUGUCAUGCCAUAGCUAAUUUAGAUGACUCAUACGACAUCUCAUAUUAAAUUGAAGAAUAAUCCACAUGAUUUAGAAUGAAAUAGAAAACGAAUUUGACAAAAUAAUCUAAUUGUCGUGCCUGAUUUAACUCAUAACUCAGAAGGCUUGCCUGAUUAGUAUAGAAAGACUUAUAAACGAAAUAAUCGAACCGCCGCACACGGUCUAACUAAGAACUUAAUAGACCCGUCUGGUUGAUAAGAAGGACGAAUAAUUCAACUGUCAUGUCUGGUCUAACUCAGAACUCAGAAAGCUCAUUUGGUGCCUCAAAUUAGACUGAAUUAGACAAUUGUAUUUCUUUCAUAUCAUACAUGCAUACACAAGGAAAAUAGCACUUGCAACAAACCCCUGCAAGCUUCGAAAGAGCAUACGAUUUGAAAGCUUAUAUUAUGUUGCUAAGAAAAGUUAAAAACUAUGUCGCCUUUGCUUUUUCUCUAAUGAAAGAUAAACCGAGGCAUCUUGAAACCUAUACUAUGGUGACUCGUUGGUUUGGUAGUAAUGAAUAUGGCCCCUUCUAUACUGCAGUGUCAUUAAAUUGUUGCAGAAUGAUCUUAUAAAUGAUGACCAUUGUUCUUCUAGAGGAAUGGUGCAUGGUUAGCAUAAGUUACAGCCCCUUGUCAUAGAAUUAGUUAGACCUGAUAGGCACCCUAGUACUUGACUUAAUUUAUUGGAUCAUUUUUCUGAGGGUAAUAAUGUGCGACAAUAUUUCGCCAUAUAGACCAACUCCAGUGGUUGAGAUUAAAACCUAAAUUUUAGCUCAGAAAAUUUAGGUUUUAACCCAAAAAUAGUUUUUAUCUUCCAAUGAUUUUUAUCUUCCAAUGGUUUUGAUCAUAAGGAAGGCUAGGAAUUAUUUGGAACAUAUUGUGCGUAAAACUAAUUCUCCUCUUUCCCGUUACAUGAGGAUGUAAAAGAGAAUGUAGACAUUGGUGGGGUGGGGAAAAAUAAUCAGCUUGGGUGGAAUUUCCUUUUGUGAUUUUCUGUUUUAAAUAUCACUACUUUUCAGUACAUUAAUGUUAUAAACCAAAUUUAAUGGGAGGCUUUCUUUCCAUUGGUGCUUCUGUAGAAAGAAAAUAAGUAGCUGUAUUUUUACCGCGUGUUCGCAUAUUUGCGAGUCAUCCAACCCAUGAGUGGUUCGUUGUGAGUUGAUUGAAUCAAUCCCAUCUCUUGGUGGCAGGUUUUGGAUCGCGGUGAGAGAAUUGAGCUUUUGGUUGAUAAAACAGAAAAUCUGCAGUUCCAGGUACAUGCCAUCACUUCACUUAACUGGUCUGGUCUUAUAAUUUAAUACCGGUUUGAGUUCACUAGGCAUUUGUAGUUGACGUGCUACUUGGGAUGUUUGUAUUGAAUACAGGCUGACAGCUUCCAGAGGCAAGGCAGGCAAUUGCGACGUAAGAUGUGGCUGCAGAGUCUCCAAAUGAAGCUAAUGAUUGGAGGUGGAGUCCUUAUUCUGAUCAUCAUAAUAUGGCUUAUCGCCUGCGGAGGUUUCAAAUGCUAAGGUGCUAAGCAAACACGAAAUCGGCAAUUAUUAGGCAUCUGUUCUUCACUUGGUGUACAAAAUGUUAAUUGUUCCUGUAUACGUAAACUUUUGCAGAAUUUAAUACUCGACACUUGACAAUUCAUCUGCGAUGUAAUUAACCUCUAUUACCCGCUGGUUUUAUUUAAUCAGUUAAUUUUGAGGACAUAGUAGUUCUCUUAUUAACCUUUUCUUUUAACAUUUCAACGAAAGCGUCGUCGGGGAAAGAAACCCGAAGCAGUGGAAAUAAAACAUGUUCAGUAAGAAGAUCUUUAGCUUCACGUGCGUCAAGGCAUGACGAGAGACCAGUAGUUGAGUAACCAAGCUAAAGUGACAUUGGAGAACAAAGACAACCAGAAGCAACGGAAUUGGGGAUGCAGUGAUCACAUUGGUCGUGAAUGUGUGUACAAAGCAUUAUUUGAUCUCUUAUUGACUAAGAGGCAUGCCGCUUGAAUAAAAGAAACACGUUGAACGGGGGAAAUACACCUACCUCUUUGCUCUUGCUCAAAUCCCACAUCGAACAAUACUAUUACUGACACAGCAGUUUAUAAGAUGUUACAACACACAGUUAUAUUGCCGAGCCUAGUAGCGUGGGCUUGAAACUAAGCAGGGCAUUAAGGUGGGUGAUGAAAGUGGAGCUUGACCCGGGUGGGUAAUAGUGUUUGAAAUCUGUUCACAAACCAUCGUAUGGGGUGUGAGGUUGCAUUAAGCACGCCCUAUGCUACUCGGGUUAGUAGGGCACCCCACCCUCUAAAGGUGGGUAGCAAACCAACAACGAGCUUUAGGCCGGGGAGUGAAGGGGUACAACAGCUGUCCGGCUGCCCAGAUCCCGCAGAUGAUGAUGCCUUUACCUAGCGUGCUGCCCGGCUCGACUCCCCAUCCUACAACCACUUUUGCCUAUCGUCCUAACUUUUUAUUUUUGCCACAUUGCCUUGUUCAUCUUCCUUCCCUUGCUUCUGGGUUACCUUAGGUCAUUGGGUCAUCUCAGCCCUUGAGGUUGCCAACCUAAAUAUCUAGCAAAUAACUCAAACAAAGAAGCACACAACUCAACUCUCCGGAGAAUAUUUGGAGUAUGUAUUGCCAAACAUAACAUAUCAAAUUUAAUGGCUAAACAAAGCGAAAAACUACACGACAACAUCUCUCGGCUUAGAAAUUUGUAUCAAAUCGUGAUCUCUAAGAACAAGGAGGAGUCUCAGAAACAGUAACUCCCUAAUCAAGAGACAGACCCAAUCCCUGUGUAAUAGAGUUUUGCAAGCCAAAAAUAAAGCUUCCAUUGGGGUACAACAGCAAUUCUCUAUAAGAACAAGAUGAACAACAGCAAAAUCAUGUCCACAAGAACAUGACGGAACCCCUUAUCCCAAGCUAUAGAGAGACCGUAAAAAGGCCCCAAGCAACUCGACAGCCAUCAGCGCUAAACAGAUAUGCAAAAUAUUAGGAGAGAAAGGGGAGCCAAAAGUUGUAAAUAAUUCAAGAUCAAACAAUCCAUCAUUAGUAUGAAAAUUGAACUUUUUUUACUGAGAUGAUCUCUGUUUAACCUUUACACAAAUUCAAGACAAUCGAUCAACAUUUGAAAUUUAUCGAUAUUCCCUUAAUCCUUCUGGGAUUUUUGUGUACUACGGAGGUUAUAAAAUACAAAUUACAGGGCUAUAAUUCCUACACAAGAACACCAACGAGUAAGAGUUGUAAUGUUAUGCUUUGAAAACACGUAUGCAAACUAACAAACUAUGUACUGUUACCACCAAAUUCACCCUUGUCGCGCCAAUUAACGACUUUCCUCCAUAAUUCUGACCAUCUUAUGUUUCUUCAACAGCCAGAACCAGGAACCUUUUCACCUGCAGCUCCAUCCCAACAAUUACAGGAUCUCCAUCAACAAGACAUAGGCUUCCCCCCCCUCCCCCACAACAAAUAGUUGUAUCAGAACAACGGGGCAGACCACAAAUUUCAUCAACUCGUUUUAAAUCUUUUUCUCUAAAUCAUACCAGAAAAACCUAAGACAGUCCUCCCUCAAAAAGAGACAAACAUAGCUUCUGAGUUCUGAGUUAGACUGGACGAGACGGUUAAAUUAUUUUAUCUAUUUCGUCUUUCUAUAUUAUGUGAUUAAUUUCCAUUCUGAACCUUGUUAGUUAUCCAAUCCAAUCUAAGUACACAUCAGAACUACCCUUGACUCACUUUCUUUGAGUAGGGUAAAUAAUGAAAUUUACGACUCUUCAACCCCAAUUGCAAUAAGUGCACUUGCUGAAUUGUCAAUAAAUCCCAGCAUUGAUAAAGAUGCUUGUGGAAUAAAAGGGACAAACAUGGCUUGAAAACAGAUCCAACAGAGAGAGAUGAAUUGAUGUCUCAACUGUUGUACGGAUAAGCUCAAAUGUUAAAAUUCCCCAAGAGGCAGGAAGAGGAAUCCUCCAAAUCUUAAAGAUGAGAUUACAAAACUUCCCAUCAAAAGUUGGAAUCAAACCAAGAAAGGAGAUAAUUGGAAUUGAAUCCCAUAAUAAGACGAAAUAGGUGAAGUCGUCCCACUGUCAUGCCAUAGCUAAUUCAGAUGACUCAUACGACAUCUCAUAUUAAAUUGAAGAAUAAUCCACAUGAUUUAGAAUGAAAUAGAAAACGAAAUAGACAAAAUAAUCCAAUUGUCGUGCCUGAUUUAACUCAUAACUCAGAAGGCUUGCCUGAUUAGUAUAGAAAGACUUAUAAACGAAAUAAUCGAACCGCCGCACACGGUCUAACUAAGAACUUAGCAGACCCGUCUGGUUGAUAAGAAGGACGAAAUAAUUCAACUGUCAUGUCUGGUCUAACUCAGAACUCAGAAAGCUCAUUUGGUGCCUCAAAUUAGACUGAAUUAGACAAUUGUAUUUCUUUCAUAUCAUACAUGCAUACGCAAGGAAAAUAGCACUUGCAACAAACCCCUGCAAGCUUCGAAAGAGCAUACGAUUUGAAAGCUUAUAUUAUGUUGCUAAGAAAAGUUAAAAACUAUGUCGCCUUUGCUUUUUCUCUAAUGAAAGAUAAACCGAGGCAUCUUGAAACCUAUACUAUGGUGACUCGUUGGUUUGGUAGUAAUGAAUAUGGCCCCUUCUAUACUGCAGUGUCAUUAAAUUGUUGCAGAAUGAUCUUAUAAAUGAUGACCAUUGUUCUUCUAGAGGAAUGGUGCAUGGUUAGCAUAAGUUACAGCCCCUUGUCAUAGAAUUAGUUAGACCUGAUAGGCGCCGUAGUACUUGACUUAAUUUAUUGGAUCAUUUUUCUGAGGGUAAUUAAUGUGCGACAAUAUUUCGCCAUAGACCAACUCCAGUGGUUGAGAUUAAAACCUAAAUUUUAGCUCAGAAAAUUUAGGUUUUAACCCAAAAAUAGUUUUUAUCUUCCAAUGAUUUUUAUCUUCCAAUCGUUUUGAUCAUAAGGAAGGCUAGGAAUUAUUUGGAACAUAUUGUGCAUAAAACUAAUUCUCCUCUUUCCCGUUACAUGAGGAUGUAAAAGAGAAUGUAGACAUUGGUGGGGUGAGGAAAAAUAAUCAGCUUGGGUGGAAUUUCCUUUUGUGAUUUUCUGUUUUAAAUAUCACUACUUUUCAGUACAUUAAUGUUAUAAACCAAAUUUAAUGGGAGGCUUUCUUUCCAUUGGUGCUUCUGUAGAAAGAAAAUAAGUAGCUGUAUUUUUACCGCGUGUUCGCAUAUUUGAUGUAGAACAAAUGGCGGAAUGGAUCGAGGAGGAGAUGGAACGUCGGAAGACAAAAGGGCGCAAUCAUAAAAGGGGUAUUAAUUUCCCAUAAAAGUGGCUUGAGCCACUUUUCGCAGAAACGUGUUAAAAUAAUUCUCCCACAAAAGUGGCUUGAGCCACUUUUCGCAGAAACGUGUUAAAAUAAUUCUCCCACAAAAGUGGCUUGAGCCAUCUUUUGCAGAAAGUCAUCAAGACAGCAGCCUACUAAUAAAUGGAGUCUUUUGGGGUUUCAAGGGCUUUAUUAUAUGUCAGUUAUUUUCAUUUUAAUUUCCUAAGUCUUUUGAGUUUUCCAAGAGGUUGUAAAAGGCUUAUUUAAGCCAUGGCUUUGUAAUCAUUUGGACAUCUUUUUAUCAAUUAAUCAAAUUAUCCUUUGGGAUUUCUAUCAACUGGUGGACUCCAGUAAACUUUGUUCUACAAGGGAUUACGCUGGUAACCCUUUCAUUGCUUCGUGCUGCGUCAAUUGGUACCAGAGCGAGUUUCUCUCGUCUUGGCAUCGUUGAUUAUCCUAUCUAUCCAUGGGUGAUCGUGAUCGUGAACCUGCCCCUAUCACUCGAGCAGACUUGGAUGCUCUAGCUGAACAGAUUACAAACUUGACUACUCAAAUUGGAGAACUUCGUGAGAUGUUGGUCCAAGCCAUUGGUCCAAAUAAUCAUAGAGCUGUUGGAGUCAAUAAUCUACGAGUUCCUAGGCUCCGUGUUCAAGACAGCGAAUCGGAGUCCGAAGAAGAAGAUGUGGAACCACAUGCAGCUAACAAUCCAAACCAUCAAAACCGCAACAACUUUGAUGACUUUCGGAUUAAGGCCGACAUUCCAACUUUUGCAGGAAACCUUAAAAUCGAAGAUUUCCUGGAUUGGCUAGUUGAAGUAGAAAGAUUCUUUGAUGUCAUGGAGGUUCCCGAGACAAAGAUGGUGAAGAUGGUGGCCUUCCGUCUCAAAGCAACUGCCGCUGUUUGGUGGGAUCAAUUACAAAAUACUCGGCAGAGGCAAGGAAAGAAUCGAAUCCGCACUUGGAGAAAAAUGAAGCAACUCUUGAUGGAUCGUUUCUUACCUGCGGAUUAUGAACAACUUUUGUAUCGUAUAUACAUCAGCUGCGUCCAAGGCAACAGAAACGUGACUGAUUAUACGGAUGAUUUCAUGAGACUUGCGAAGCGAAACAAUUUGAUGGAGACAGAAAAUCAAAGGGUUGCAAGGUUCGUGAAUGGAUUGAAACCCUCAAUUCAAGAAAAGAUUGGGCUGCAAAAUCUGUGGAGUUUGCAAGAGGCCAUUAACAUGGCCUUGAAGGCGGAGAUAAUAGAGAAAGAAAGGCGACAAACCUCUUUCCGGAGGAACGUGACGGAGCAUUUUGAAAACCCUGUCGUCUCGUCCACCGACAAAGGAAAACCUGUGCCACAAAGUUCGGGAGAAUUGAAACCUUCAAGUUGUUCUUCUCAAGCAGCAAAUGAAGGGAGUAGCAGAACUUUUAACAAGGGGCAGAAUAGAAACCAACCUCCAAGGGAGAAUCCGUACGCCAAGCCUAUGGGAGACAUUUGUUAUCGUUGCACAAAAUCGGGCAUCGAUCUAACGUUUGUCCUGAACGGAGACAAGCCAAUUUGUUGGAGGCUGAAGGGGACCAAGAAGAAGUGGGUGAUGAUGACUAUGAAGGCGUUGAAUUCGCAACUGAAGAAGGAAUGGAUCGUCUCGCUUUGGUGUUGCAGCGAGUUCUUUUAACACCAAAAGAGGAUGGGGAACGACAUUGCAUUUUUCGUUCUCUUUGCUCCAUCAACAGCAAAGUUUGCGAAAUGAUUGUAGACAAUGGAAGUUGUGAAAAUUUUGUGGCCAAGAAAGUGGUGGAGCGUUUACAGCUACCAACGGAGCCUCAUGUCACCCCAUACUCACUUGGAUGGGUGAAGAAAGGACCUUCCGUCUAUGUCACAGAAACUUGUCGUGUCCCACUUUCCAUUGGUAAGCAUUACUGUGAUGAAGUAUUUUGCGAUGUUAUUGAUAUGGAUGCUUGUCAUAUACUAUUAGGGAGACCGUGGCAGUUUGAUGUGGAUUCGACAUUGAAGGGUCGAGAUAAUGUGGUGUUAUUUACUUAGAAUAAUCGGAAGAUUGCGAUGGCUCCUGUUUCGCCCUCUGAAGUACCAAAAGCAAAGAAUACUAGUUUCCUCACUCUAAUUAGUGAUAAGAAUGAGAUUGAAGGGGCCAUAAAAGAAGCAUAUUUUUUCUUUCCGAUCGUGAUGAAGGGACUAUUGACAGAAAACAAAGAAGAGGAACAAAUCUCUUCAGAAGUGCAGCAAUUAUUGGAGGAAUUUCAUGAACUCAUUUCUGACGAGUUGCCUAACGAGCUUCCUCCCAUGAGGAACAUCCAACAUCAAAUUAAUUUGGUACCUGGAGCUAGCCUACCAAAUCUUCCCCAUUAUCAAAUGAGCCCUGCAGAAAAUGAGAUUUUGAGGGAACAAAUUAAAGAUUUGCUGCGAAAUGGGUUUAUCCGAGAAAGUAUGAGCCCUUGUGCAGUACCUGCCCUAUUGGUUCCAAAGAAAGACAAGGAAAAGAAAAAGGCAUGGCGUAUGUGUGUAGACAGCCGAGCUAUUAACCGAAUCACCAUCAAAUACAGAUUUCCAAUACCUCGAUUAGAUGACAUGCUAGAUGUGCUUGAAGGUUCGAAAUUAUUUUCAAAAAUUGACCUUCGCAGUGGCUACCAUCAAAUUCGAAUCAGGCCUGGAGAUGAGUGGAAAACGACGUUCAAGAGCAAGGAUGGACUGUUCGAGUGGCUAGUGAUGCCAUUUGGAUUGUCUAAUGCACCGAGUACCUUCAUGAGGCUUAUGAAUCAGGUUCUUCGUCCCUUCAUUGGUCUCUUUGUUGUGGUUUACUUUGAUGACAUCUUAAUCUAUAGCAAGACCAGAGAAGAACACAUGAUGUAUUUGAGACACGUUUUGGGUGUUUUGAAAGAAAAUAAAUUGUAUAUGAAUCUCAAGAAAUGCAUAUUUUGUACAAGUAAAUUGCUAUUUCUAGGAUUUGUGGUUGGUGAAAAUGGUAUUCAAGUGGAUGAUGAGAAGACCAAGGCCAUCCGAGAAUGGCCAACUCCGAAGUCCGUCUCCGACGUGAGGAGUUUCCAUGGCUUGGCUACUUUUUAUCGGAGAUUUGUGCGGCAUUUCAGCACCAUCACCGCACCCAUUACAGAAUGUUUGAAGAAAGGCAAGUUCCGUUGGGGAGAUGAACAAGAACAAAGCUUUGUUUUGAUCAAAGAGAAGCUUUGUACUGCUCCGGUGUUAGCUCUUCCAAAUUUUGAGAAAGUAUUCGAAGUCGAAUGUGAUGCAAGUGGAGUGGGAGUGGGUGCUGUCCUUUCCCAAGAGAAGAGACCUAUAGCUUUUUUCUCUGAAAAGCUAAGUGAAGCCCGUAAAAAAUGGAGCACUUAUGAUCAGGAGUUUUAUGCGGUGAUUCGAGCUUUAAAACAAUGGGAACACUAUCUCAUUCAGAAAGAAUUUGUGUUAUUCACGGAUCAUCAAGCCUUGAAGUUUAUUAACAAUCAGAAGCAUGUUAAUAAAAUGCAUAUCAGAUGGGUAACGUUCUUGCAAAAAUUUCCAUUUGUUAUCAAGCACAAAUUUGGAGCUCAAAACCGUGUUGCCGAUGCCUUGAGUAGACGAGCAUCAUUGCUAAUCACUCUUUCCCAAGAAGUUGUGGGUUUCGAGUGCUUAAAGGAGUUGUAUACAACCGAUGAUGAUUUUCAGGAAAUAUGGAGGAAAUGCAUCAAUCAUGAACCUAUGGCAGAUUACUCUAUCAACGAAGGUUUUCUGUUCAAGGGUAACCAAUUAUGUGUUCCUAUCUCUUCCUUGCGGGAAAAGCUUAUUCGAAAUUUGCAUGGAGGAGGAUUAAGCGGUCAUCUUGGUCGUGACAAGACGAUAGCAAGUUUGGAAGAAAGGUACUUUUGGCCACAAUUGAAACGGGAUGUUGGAGCCAUUGAGGAAGUGUUACACUUGUCAGGUUUCAAAGGGGCAAGUCCAAAAUACGGGUCUUUACAUGCCUUUACCUGUUCCUAACGAUAUUUGGGAGGACAUUGCUAUGGAUUUUGUGCUUGGACUACCCCGAACACCAAGGGGAAUGGAUUUAGUUUUUGUGGUGGUUGACAGGUUCUCCAAGAUGGCUCAUUUCAUUGCUUGCAGAAAAACCGCUGAUGCAUCAAACAUAGCCAAACUGUUUUUUAGGAAGGUUGUUCGAUUGCAUGGGGUACCUAAGUCCAUCACUUCUGAUCGAGACACCAAGUUCUUGAGUCAUUUCUGGAUUACAUUAUGGAGAAUGUUUGGGACUACUUUGAAUCGAAGUACUACUGCACAUCCCCAAACUGAUGCACAUCCCCGAAACAGCCACCAAAAUUCCCUUGAUCUGCCAUCAACGGAAGAUCAAGCGAUGCCUCUGUCCAUAUCGAGUUAUCAAACACCGGAAAACUCUCGCUCAUGUUCCCCCCAGAAUAUCCCAUCCAUUCCUUCAUUGUUCACAUCACUAGUCAUAUUCUCCUCCACUUUCAUGCCACCCUGCUUCAGCUGGGUCUCAGCCCGGCGAGAAUUAUAAUUUCCGGAGGGCUGAUCCACCUUCACGUUCACACAAUUAUUACAAAUAACAGGUACUGCAUUAUCUUUCUCGGGAGCAACAUAACAUGCAGGAUAAGAGGUGGCACGCCGGGAUUGGCGGACGAGGGACAUGAAGAGCAAGUUACUGUUGUAAAAGAAUCUAGUAAAAGUUAGCUUUAGUAAAAGUUGGUUAGUUGUUAGAAUAGUUACCACUGUAACUAUUUUCUUUACCUGUGUAAAUCUAGGUAUAUAUAUAUAUAUAUAUAUACAUCAGUAUAACUAAUUUUAAAAUUAAUAAAAGGAAAUCAUUUGUCAAUAUGGUAUCUCUCGCCUAAGUCCACCGACUUCGAUCCUCUUUGGCUAUUUUCUUGCUUAUUUUCCUACCUACCAAACACAGUUGCUUUCGUCUGCCAACCUUCAGUCUUGUUCAUCAAUGGCAGCAAAUUCUUCUAAUUCUUCCUCUCCAGUGGCCGCCCCUGUUGCUUCUUCUUCGGCGAUUGCGAAUCCUUCUUCUUCGCAGCCUGCUCAUCUCCAUUCUUCUCCGACGAACAUAAACCCUAACUCCUUCUUUCAACCUUCGAUCAACUCUAUCACGAUUCAAAACAUCGGGAGUAUGAUUCAAACAAAACUCAAGCGUCACAAUUAUCUUGUUUGGCGUUCUCUUUUCGAGCCGAUCUUCUGCCGCUACAAGCUCACCUGUAUUGUUGAUGGAUCUGAACCGCCACCGCCUCAAUUUCUUGCUGAUAUUUCUGGAAAUCUGUCCUCAAUUCCGAAUCCAGCCUUUGAGAUUUGGUACGAAAAAGAUCAAAACAUCAUCAUUUGGAUCAAUUCCACUCUCUCUGAGGAUUUGAUUCCCUUUACUGUUGGUGUUCAAUCAGCCCGUGAACUUUGGCAAAAUCUUGAAAAGCGAUUUUGUGGAGUCUCUCGUUCUCAUAUUCAUCAGUUGAGAUCGAAUUUGUAAUCGAUGUCAAAGGGAACUUCCACCAUUUUUGAAUAUUUACAACGCAUCAAAGAAAUUACGGAUGCUUUCACUGCAGCCGGUGCACCAGUUGACGAUUCAGAUCUCCUUCACCUAAUUCUUAAUGGAUUGCCUGAUGAAUAUGAUUCCUUCAUGGAUUCAAUUCACUUUCGUCUUGCUGACACUACUAUUGAUGAUUUACAUGGAUUUCUUCUCAGCAAAGAAAUGGCUCUUGCUCGCCGAAAGCAAACUCAAGGUUCAUUUGAACUGUAUCAGGCAUUUGCUUCUAUUCCGACAGCUUCAAAUGCUCAACUCUCAGAUGAACUACAACAACCGUAAUCGAUACAAUCGGUUCAAUAAUUCCUCAACCAAUCGUGGUGGCAAUCAAGGUGGAAAUCGUGGCUUCAAAUCUUUCAAUUCUUCUGUCACUCCAUGUCAAAUUUGUGAGGACACUGGACAUCUGGCUAUUGAUUGUUCCAACCGCAUGAAUCCAAAUUUUCAAGGGCGUGUUCCACCAGCUAAGCUUGCGAUGUAUGCAUCUUCCAACACCUCUUCUUCUCCACCAUGGCUCUUUGAUUCCGAAGCAAGCUCUCAUAUGACCAACAAUAUUCACAAUCUUCAGAAUCCGCGGCCCUACACUGGUCCAGAUAAAGUCUAUAUUGGAGAUGGCCAAGGUUUGCCAAUUCUCCAUACUGGUUCUACUUUACUUAAAACACCCUCUGCCAAUUUUCAAUUAAAGAAUGUGUUACAUGUUCCUCAAUUGAAGCAUGAUCUUCUUUCUGCCAAUAUGUUUUUGCGUGAUAAUUGGUGUUUAUUAACCGUUAAUCCUUUUGACUUUAAUGUCAAGGAUCUUACUACGGGGAUGAUGCUUUUUAGAGCUCCUGUCAGUUGUGGUCUCUAUCCAUUUUCUGCUUCUUCUACUGCAACAAAGAUUCAUGCUCAUUCUGCAAUAAGGACCUCCUCUCAUGUUUGGCAUCAACGUUUGGGGCAUCCAACGUUCAAGACUUUUCGGUCAUUGCUAUCCAAGUCUUCACUGCCUAUUUCUAAUAUUGUUCAGCAAUUGUUUUGCUCAAAUUGUGUUUUAGGCAAAUGUGCCAAGUUACCAUUUCAAGAUUCUCUCUGUACUACUUCUAGGUCUCUAGAAUUGGUUCAUGCGGAUGUUUGGGUGCCAGCUCCAGUAUGCUCUAUUAGUGGUUAUCGCUUUUAUGUCAUAUUUGUAGAUGAUUUUACCAAAUACACUUGGUUGUAUCAUCUCAAACAUAAAUCAGAAGUGUUUCCUAUUUUUGUGCAAUUUCAAGCUCUUGUUAAGAAUCUUUCUAGACACAAGAUUGGCACUUUAAGAUCAGACUCAGGGUGUGAAUUUAUUAGUUCUAACUUCAAGCAUCACCUUUCUUUACAUGGAAUUCAGCAGCAACUCAGUUGCCCCUACACUCCUCAGCAAAAUGGUUGUGCUGAAAGAAAGCACAAACAUAUUGUUGAGACUGCUCGCACUCUUCUCAUUGCAUCACAAGUUCCUCAUCAAUUCUGGGUUGAAGCUUUUCUUACUGCCAUGUAUCUUAUUAAUCGACUUCCUCCAGUCAACAAGUCCUCUCCUUGGGAACAAUUUUUCAGGAAAUUUCCAGAUUACAAUUCUCUUCGGGUCUUUGGAUGUCAAUGCUUUCCUUGGUUGAAACCAUAUACCAACUCCAAGUUAGAACCCAAGAGCAAGAUGUGUGUUUUCAUUGGCUAUAGUUUAGCUCACAAGGGUUAUCGAUGUCUAGAUCCCUUCACUAAUCGGGUUUAUCUAUCUAGACAUGUUCAUUUUGAUGAACAAACUUUUCCCUUUCAUGAUCCAUAUCUUUUUAAAUCUUCCCCUUUAAAUACCACCAAAGUUUACUCACCCUUUUCCCUCACAUUUCCCAACGUUUAUUCAUUUACUCCUCCCCAUUCCCCUAUUCCACCACCCAUACCUUCCUCCCAUACUCAACCUGCGCCAUUGUCUUCUCAUGCAUCUUUUACUGCACCCUCCUCACCUUCCUCAUCUCACUCUUCUCAUCUCCAAGUCCCUGAACCACAUCCUGUACCUCUUGUUUCAUCUGUUCAUCUGAUGCAAACACGAUCCAAGUCUGGGAUAUACAAACCUAAGGCCUUUACUGUCGCCAAACAUCAUGUGCCCUAUCAUUUGGACAAUGAUUUUAUUCCCACUACAUAUAUCCAAGCUUCUAAACAUCCUCAGUGGAGAGCUGCAAUGCAGGAUGAAUUUAAUGCUUUGCAAAAUACAGGAACUUGGCAGCUUGUUUCCUCUACCUCUACUCAUAAUUUGGUUGGAUGUAAAUGGGUUUUUCAGAUUAAGAGGAAACCAGAUGGCUAUGUGGAUCGUUACAAGGCUCGGCUAGUUGCUAAAGGUUACAAUCAACAAAAGGGCAUUGAUUAUAGUGAUACUUUCAGCCCAGUUGCUAAACCUGUGACUAUAAGACUCAUUCUUACUCUUGCAGUCCAAUCAAAUUGGUUUCUCCAUCAGUUGGAUAUCAGUAAUGCAUUUCUGCAUGGUCAUUUGAAAGAGAAUGUCUAUAUGGCUCAGCCAACAGGGUUCAUUGAUCAAGAUAAUCCUACUCAUGUCUGUCACUUGAAGAAAUCCUUAUAUGGCUUAAAGCAAGCACCUCGUGCUUGGUAUGAAAAACUUCAAUCUGCUCUUUUCUCCAUGGGAUUUAAAGCUUCACACUCUGAUCAUAGUUUUUUUGUGUUGCACAACCCCAUUUUGGUUUUGGUUCUUGUUUAUGUGGAUGAUAUCAUAGUGAUUGGACCUUCUUCUAUUGUUUGCCACAACAUUAUUUCUCAGUUGAGCUCUCAAUUUCCCAUUAAGGAUCUCGGUGAUCUUCAUUAUUUUCUUGGUUUGGAAGUUCAGAAAUCAACCACAGGAGCUUUCAUUCAUCAAUCCAAAUACAUAUUAGACCUUCUCAAGAGAACCAAAAUGGAUGGGGCAAAGCCAUGUGCCACUCCCCUUAGCUCAGCCAAGCUUGAUCACACCGGUUCUUUAUUGUCCAAUCCAAAGGAAUAUCGAUCCAUUGUUGGAGCCCUCCAAUACCUUACUUGGACUCGGCCGGAUUUGUCUUUUGCAGUUAACUUGGUGUGCCAGUUCAUGCACUAUCCUAGAGAACCUCAUCUUCAAGCCGUAAAACUCAUACUCUGGUAUCUAAAAGGAACACUUGGUUAUGGCUUAUGGUUUCCCAAAACUACAUUUCCCCUACUUCUCAAAGUCUUUUCAGAUGCUGAUGGGGCAGGAUGCUCUUGGGAUAGAAGAUCCACUGGUGGUUUUUGCAUCUUUCUUGGUUCUUGCCUUGUUAGUUUGAGUGCAAAGAAACAACACACGGUUGCACGAUCCUCCACUGAAGCUGAGUACCGAUCCCUUGCACAUACCCUUGCUGAAAUUACUUGGAUUUGUCAACUUUUAACUGAUAUUGGGUUCCAGUUGCCAUCUUUGCCACAAAUAUGGUGUGAUAAUGUUUCUGCUAUUGCCUUAGCCUCCAAUCCGGUUUUUCAUGCUCGCACAAAGCAUGUUGAAAUCGAUUAUCAUUACAUCCGAGAGCUUGUUUUGGCUAAGCUUCUUACUGUUCAGAUUGUCUGUAGUGCGGAUUAACUAGCAGUUAUUCACACUAAAUCCCUGCCAAGACCCAGAUUUCUCCAGCUUCGGUCCAAGCUUUCACUUCAACCUUCUCCAUUUAGCUUGAUGGGGUGUGAAGAGCAAGUUACUGUUGUAAAAGAAUCUAGUAAAAGUUAGCUUUAGUAAAAGUUGGUUAGUUGUUAGAAUAGUUACCACUGUAACUAUUUUCUUUACCUGUGUAAAUCUAGGUAUAUAUAUAUAUAUAUAUACCUCAGUGUAACUAAUUUUAAAAUUAAUAAAAGGAAAUCAUUUCUCAAUAGGAAAUACUUGAUGUUGCAGGUGCGGGUUCAAUUGAUGACGGUGAUAUUUAGGGGCUUGUUGAUCUGGCAAAUUGAGCUUCGCCUAGGAACCGUAGAGCUUCCGGUUGGUGGCAUCAUAAGCCAGAGCAGCCUCAUGGGAGGUGUCGAAAGUCCCGAGCCAGAGCCAGGCCCCGCAAAUUUCCACAACCCAUUUCCCCCAGCUCAUUUGCCUGACGCCCUUGCAAGUGCACAUAGCGUUCUCCGGCCCUCCUUUUCCCCUCAUGCAACCUUUCCUCGAGCUUCCCUGCUCUGGCCACUUCCCUGGCUUCUUCUCCGCAACUCCAACACUGCUACUACCAGCAACCAUCUCCGAGUUCGAGAUUCUGAGAAUUUUUUGAGAAGAAUCGAGGAUUUUUUUCGUGAUUAUUAUUAUUAUUUUUUAAUUCGGAUGGUGAGUUUGAGAAACCAUAACCCGAGACGGUGGUGGUACUUAUAUGACGGAGGAAGGCAGACAUGACUGAAACGUGGCUUGUGGAAGAUUAGGGCUUGAAUACUUGGCAUGGUGAACGGGAGAUAUCGUGUCCAUGGCUAGCUUGAGUAGCCUUACUAUUUAAAUCUCUAAUACACACUUGGCUUACACCUUUGUUUGCUUUCUUGCUCAGGUGGCAAUCGGAGAGGAGAAAAAUUCCAGUUUUUCUUUCUCAUUUUUCAUAUUUGUAUUAACUCAUAGAUGAAUUGUAAUGGAUGAAUAACACUAGGAGAGAAAAGUUUUAAACUGUACGUAUGUCUUUCUGAAGUUGAUUGGAGUUGAGAUAAGGGAAAAUGAAUGAAUAACAUUAGGAGAAAACAAAUCUUAAACUGUACAGAAAACCUUUUUGAAGUCAAGUUGAGAUAAGUGAUAAAUGGAUGAAUAACUGUAAGAGAGAAUUCUUCAAUUCUAGAGAAAACUGAGCAUGUCUUUCUGAUUGAGAGAAAACUUAAACGGUAUAGAAAACUGACUGAGCAUAUGUAUGAAUAAGCAGGAGAAAAGAUUCUUAAACUAUAUAGAAAACUUACUGUCUUUCUAAGUUAUAAGUGAGAAAUAGAUGAAUAAGUGUAGGAGAGAAAAUUCUUAAACUAUACAGAAAGCUUAUUGUCUUUCUGAGUUAUAAGUGAGAAAUAGAUGAAUAAGAGUAUAGGAGAAAAAAUUCUUAAACUGUACAUAAAACUGAUUGAGUUUGUCUUUGUGUGAAGCUUACUGAAAGUUGAGAUAAGUGAGAAACUUGUUGACAGUUGAAACAGAGUGUUUGUUUAUAAUUAUUUUUUUCAUCUUUUAUUUAAAUAACAAGAUAAACAUGUUCAUUUUAUCAUUUUUUUCAAAAUAUUCGGAAAAGAAAGUGUGUGACAUAUAUAAAGGUAUUUUGUUUUCUUUCUCUAUGGAGGUAUUUGGAUGAUGGUAUCCGUUUUUAAGGGUUAAGUUUAUGUUAACAAUACAAGAAAUCAACGUCGGAUAUUAAGUUAUAAAUUGUUUGACUCAUAUUGAAUCUCUCAAAUGAGUGAUUUUUUUGUGUUACUGGAACACAUGGUAAUAGUAAGAUAUGUGUGUUAAAAAGUUGAUAACUUAAGAAAUACGGACUUUCAUUUUUAUUUUCUCUUUUUCUUUAUUUAUAAACAGAUAAGAACACUACUCUUAUUCUCUCCUUUUUCUUCUUUUUUUCUUGUUUUCAAUAUAUUUCCAAAAUUAAAAUGUCCACAAGAACAUGACGAAACCCACUGUCCCAAGCCAUAGAGAGACCACAAAAAGGCCCCAAGCAACUCGACUGCUAUCAACGCACAACAGAUAUGCAAAAUAUUAAUUAGAGAGAAAGGAGAGCGAGAAUAGUGAAUAAUUCAAGAUCAAACAAUCCAUCAAGAGUUUGAAAAUUAUAUUUUUAUACUUAGAUAAUCUAUGUUUAAACUUUACACAAAUUCAAGACAAACGACCUGCAGUUGAAUUUAGAAUGGAUAUCAACAUUCGUUUGAUCGAAAGGUUGCUCAUUUGUGGCCGAAAGGCCAAGAGUUCGAGUAGUGGAAACGGUCUUUUUGCAAAACAAAGAUAAGGCUGCACACGAUAGAAGUCUCCCCACACGCCCCAAUCCUCGCAAAACGAGGAGCCUUGUUGGCUUGGAGUCGCUCUUUAUCAAUAUUCACUUGAUCCUUUAGUGCCUUUAGCGCACUAUGAAGGUCAUAAAAUACAAAUUACAGGGCAAUAAUUCCUACACCGGAACACCAACGAGGAAGACUUAUAAUGUCAUGCUUUGGAAGCACGUAUGCAAACUAACAAAGCAAGUACUGUUACCAAAAAAUGAAAAAGAUUCAUGCAGAGAGAUUAACAUCAGUCCAAAGUGUUCGCUCCCUAAAUCGGCCAUGGGGCCUUGCGGGCAAGUCGGGGAUUUACUGCACAUACGAGAUUGGUGAAAGAUUCAUGCAGAGAGAUUAACAUCAGUCCAAAGUGUUCGCUCCCUAAAUCCGCCAUGGGGCCUUGCGGGCAAGUCGGGGAUUUACUGCACAUACGAGAUUGGUGGGUGCGGGCGUGCCACUACUAGAUGCCGCUAGUAGACGGGAUUUGAAUGAUUGAGGUUGCGCCUUUUGACUUCAAAUCAAGAGAUUGUGCCAUUUGAGUGAGAGUUGCUCAAAUCAAGGUUCUUUCUUUGCCUUAAAAAUAAGGACUUUACUUAUAUGGAGAGAUAGAACAAUAUGUAAAUGACAAGGUUGCUUGGAAAUAUAAAUGACAAGGGAAAGUGGCUAAUAUUGCAGAUUGCUUGUAAUUUAUAUGACUGGAAAUGAGUACAUAAAAACUACAAAUGAGAUCGAUACUACAAGUGAGUAGCAGAGCUAAUAAACUUAGAUAAAAGAAGGCUUUUGGCAAAUCUGGUUUGAGCAGAGUUUGUGCUUUUGUUUGUUUGUUUGAGUGUCCAUAAUCCUUGUGCUUCUGCUCCUUUUUAUAGAGGUCUGGAGGAAACCCUCCUGCUGAGGUUUUGUACUUGCCCGAAAGAAGCUUGGGCAGCUUGUAUUGUGAAAUGUUUAGAAUAAGCAAGUUUGAAUCUCCACCACAUAUCUCCACCACUUGUAAUAAAUUAAUAAUAAAAAGAAGCAAGCUGUCUUCUUCACAUGCCUCCUGCAAGAAUGUCUGAAUGCUUUUCCAAUCUACUUGAAGGCAUACACAUCUCCACCACCCAAACGAAUUGGAGAAACAAUAUUAUAAUGUCCAACCCUUCCACUUGCAUCUAAAUAUCCUUCCAAGUUAGCUUUCUUGCAUAUUAAUCCUCCAAAUGCCAUAUUUUACCCAAAUUGCCCAAAUAAGUAAAAAUGGGUAUAUUUUGAGUGCAAACACAAAGCAAGAAGCAUAAGUAUUCACCAAAAAAAACAAGAAAAAAGCAUAAGUUUCCAUAUUUACAACUGCACCACCAAAUUCACCCUUGUCGCGCCAAUUAACGACUUUCCUCACACUAGCAUCAUCCCACCUCACGAUCAUAAUUGCCAAAAUUUCAUAUACACAGGAACAAUUGCAAUUACUGAAGAACCAGAUUACAAUCAACAUCUUCCGCACAGUUUCCUCAGCACAAGAACACAUUAUAUAAAUUGUUGCAUGCUAAAGAUCAAACCAACUUCCUAAAAAAUAUUACACAUGGACCAGUAAAAUCGUAUUACAAAGGAUGAUAUGGCAUGUGAUGUGGCGAGUGCUUAAUAGCAUCCUAACAUUACCCCUCCCAUGAAAAUAACCUUGUCCUCCAGGUUGGAAGUUCACUCUAGCAACAAUCCAUGUUACUCCCUUAAUGCUCAAACAACCAAAACGUGAGCAGCAGCUUUCAACUAUGCUUUCCAUAUUCCUCUGCUCCCAAUAUUCACCGCUGAUAUAAUAUGCAUGGAACUUGACAAUUGGCUCCAAUUCUAUAUCCUUCAUUUCUAUCAGUAUAAACAAAAUAGCAAUUGAUUAAGAUCCCUUUUACUUAAAUGACAAGGGCAAUACUGAUCAGCUCUCUCUGCAAACUAGCAACUAAUAUACCAUCUCAUUUUGAUUUUCCUUCUCUGUCAUAGAAUCAGAGACCACCAUUGCAGACUCCACUCCACCAUAUUAUACAUGUUAUGUUUUGUAAUCAUACUUUGCAAAGUAUUCCCGAGACAGCAGAACGAGGGAAGGAUCAAGGUUCCUGCCAAUAUUCUGAUUUUUAAAAUGCUAUGGAAAUCGUUAGAGGAGUUAAGAGAGACCCGCUUCCUGAAAUUGUCACCUUCGCCUGAAUUUGCAACUUCUGGUCUAUAUUAUUUAGAGUGCCAAUAAUAUCUACGGUGUUUUAUUAUUCUAGUUUCUGUUUUUAUCUUUUUUGUAUCUGAAUUUACAAGGCAUUAUUUGUCCUCUUAUGAACUAGAGGCACGCGGCUUGAAUAAAAAAAACACGUUGAACGGGGGAAAUAGACCUACCUCUAGGCUCUUACUCUAAUCCCACAUCGAACAAUACUAUUACUGACACAGCUGCUUAUAAGUUGUUACAACACACAGUUACAUUGCAGAGUCUAGUAGCGUGGACUUGCAACUAAGCAGGGCAUUAAGGUGAUUGAUGGAAGUGGAGCCCGACCCAGGUGGGUAAAAGUGUUUGAAAUCUGUUCACAAACCAUCAUAUGGGUGUGAGGUCGCCUUAAGCACGCCCUAUGCUACUCGGGUUAGUAGGGCACCCCACUCUCUAAAGGUGGGUAGCAAACCAACAAUGAGCUUUAGGCCAGGGCGUGAUGGGGUACAACAGCUGUCCGGCUGCCCAGAUCCCGCAGAUGAGGAUGCCCUUACCUAGCGUGCUGCCCGGCUCGACUCCACAUCCUACAACCACUUUUUGCCAAUCGUUCUAACUUUUUAUUUUUGCCAUAUUGCCUUGUUCAUCUUCCUUCCCUUGCUUCUGGGUUACCUCAGUUCAUUGAGUCAUCUCAGCCUGAGGUUGCCAACUUAAGUAUCUAGCAAAUAACUCAAACAAAGAUGCACACAAUGUUGAGAAAAAUUUAGAAUAAACAACUCUAAAUUUUAUAUGUCAAAGAAGAAAUUCACUCGAAAAUUUGAGACACAACAAAAGACUUUAUUAAACUGAAAAUAUUACAAAGAAAGCUCUAAACUCUCACAAACACUCAACACACUAUAAGACUUGUAGUCUUAUUUUCUUCUUCACUUCUCGAUGAUUUACAAGGCUAGAGUACUUGGGUAUUUAUAGCAAGCUAUAUGAGAUACACACAACACAUUUAUUUAAACUAAUUAAUUCCCUACCACACAAAGUGCUUUGCAGCAAACUUGCCACAAAAUAUCAUCUAUUCCACACAUGUUGAGAAGUUUCUAC
rnacentral:lncRNA from 1 species